UUUUUUUGUUUUAGUGUUGAACUUCAAGAAAUAGAUUGGCUUCAAGAACUUCAACCAAAUCUUUUUUUUUUGUUUUGGUUUGUUUUAGUUUUGAACCAUUUUUAGUAGUCCUGUGCUCUCACCAGCCCCAUCCGCCUAUUCAUGGAGCAAGAGUAGAUAGUGGGCAUGGUCAGGCGACUUAUGUGUCAAAUUUUGUCAUGGUCAUAGAUAAAAAAGGAAAAGAAGGAAGCGCCAAACUCUUUGCAUGCUGCAUAGAGCACUGAACCCAAGUGACAUACUCUCCAUCGUCAUAACAAAAUCCAGCCAAAUAGUGUGUAAUGUCGAGAAGACUCUUCAUACAACAAGUUCCCUUUCAAAUUCAACAGUCAUUAUAAAAAAAAUCAAACAUACAUUAAUACAGGCUGAUAGGAUACAACAUGCAUGUCUGCUUGUGUUAUUCACAUAAUUCAUCAGCAGCUCAUGAUCGUGUUAGACAUCCUUCUAACCUCAUGAUUCGUGAGUUUCUAUCUCAUGAUAUUGAGACUUUAUCGAUGAGCCAACAGAUGGUAUUCAUUUACCAGGCACACAACUUAUAAAACACAAAAACAGAUGUACAAGAGCUUGUGUGCCAGCAAAGAUAAGGGAAAAAGAUGAUAACUAGCAGCUCUUUAGGUCAGGUUUCGCAGAGAAAUUGUCCAUAAAAGGUCUGCAUCAGACUGUACAGUUACCUUUUCCGAUUGCACAAUGUUGGAUGUGCUAAUCAUGCUCCCAAAUCUCAUCUUUGAUUCACCUGGAAGUGAAGAAAAGGAUCAACACUACUUUAUAACAAAGAGUUUAUAACAAAUCCUAUACUGUUCAUGUACAUUCUCCAUGAGAAAUUGAGAACUGACGGAAACAGAUUCAUGUGGAGUUCAAUGCUUAUGUAAAUGUCAGCAAACAGUACUUCAUUUUCCACUAGAUUAUUUUUGGAAAAAAUCUCCACUGUGUCCACUUAACCCCCUGAAAAAAAAUUAGGUUUACUUUAGUCCCCUGAACUAUUUCAUUUGGUCCAAUCUACCCCCUAAUUAGAUUUCUUUUUUUCAUUUCUCCAUGUAUGAAUUGAAUUUUGAGUUCAAAUUUUCUGAGCAGAUACAAAACAUGGUGCUUUACAUUAAAAAAUUAUCCUAAGAAUUUUUUAUGAUUAUUUUCACAGGUUAUGAAUAUUUAAUACGAAAUUGAUCUUAAAUAUACGAAAUGCAAUCAUGAAAAAUUUCUAGUGUAUUUUUCUAAUGUAGGCCAUCAUGUUAUAAGUCUACUAAUAAAAUCUGAAAUUAAAACUCAACUUGUACAUGAAGAAACAAAAAGGAGAAAUCUAGUUAGGGAGUAGAUUGGACCAAAUAAACUAGUUCAGGGAAGUAAAGUGAGCCUAAAUUUUGCUUAGGGGUUAAACGGAAAGUGAAUAGGUGAGGGAAGUAAAAUGGACUUUUUCCUUUAUUUUUUCAUGAAUAAACUUGACAAUAUAUGUGUUUUCUUUAAUUUCAACAAAUAAUUCCUCAGUGUUUCCACACAAUAGACAUUAAUUUGAUUUUUUUAGAAAAUCCGUAGCACAUGCAGCUCAACCAGGAACUUACACAAGUUUAUGACCAGACAAUAAAGCAUAAAAGAAAUUACUUAGAUUCCAUUUCAGGCCAGUGGUUGUGGUGCUUGUUGAUGGUGCUCCAACAGGAAAAAGCCCACAAUGUGGUCCUUCAACAGAUGACUCAAUAUAGAGUUCAUGGUGAUGCGUCUUGGGAAGAAGUCUAAUCAAGCAAUCAUCUGAUAGAAGGACAAUCCUCAUGUCCGAAAACAGAUACAGAACAUUGAUAUUUGCCGCCUCAUGAUCAAACCUUCCACCUAGUGCUCCAGUAACAAGCACACAGAGCUACAAGUUUUGAAGGAAAAAAGUAAGCCCCACUUACUAAUGAAUUUCAGUUGUGAAUCUAAUAUUGAUAGAAAAUACAAAAAUGUAGGAAACAGAAACAGGUGUACGGUGAUUGCUACUUACAUUAGGUUUUUCAUGAUCAGGUGUACGGAGAUGGAUACGAGAAAUACAUUUAUGUAAAUCUGUUGUCUCCUGGUUAUGUGAUUUAUCAGAAAUUUUGGAUCCCUGAAAAUAAGAGGUGUUUAGCAAAAACGAAAGUCUAGUCAAUGAUGGCUUUAAAGUUCACUUGGUCGUUAAACAUUUCAGGCAAAGUUCAUAUGUAUGGAAACUAGUGUAAUACAAAGAAAUGGCAUGCAUUUGUUAAUGCAGUAUUUUAUAAUUGUAUUGAAGUUCAUAGCAUAAGUGAAUUUUGGAAACCAAAUUUCAAACAGACAUGUAGCAGCUCAUUUUAGUUCAAGUAUGCAAGAAAGAAAUGGCAUGCAUUUGUUAAUGCAGUAUUUUAUACUCAUAUUGAAGUUUGGAAACCAAAUUUCAAACAGACGUUUGGCAGCUCAUUUUAGUUCAUUAUGCGAUCGAUAGAAGCAUCAAAUCAUUUAUUUGUUUGACCAUAGUAAUUAGAAAACGGCAAGUUUGUCGACAUAAUAACCAAAAGAAUUGGCAUUUCCUGCAAAGUCACCAAGCCAGCAUCCAUUCAGAGUUCUGACUAUAGUCACGUCAGAUGGACUACUAUACAGAGGAUCCUCCUAGGUGGAACUACAGCCAGGUGUUGCUGGUUCACACACUUGGUUAUCAUUCUGGAAGCUUCCGAGUCUUUGGAAUCAUAGGAAUAACUUUGUUUCCAGUGCUCUGCACCUAGCUUAGCAACUGUCUUGCCAGUUUUCUGGUGAUGAGGUGCACUUGUGGUGCAUGGCUGAGUCCAAGGGCUUGUCCCUGAUUUUGGGCCCGAGAACAGAUGGUUGAUUUAUCACGGGUUGAGUCGUUAUUUUUUAUGGGAGCGUAUGUGUGUUCUGUACAGGUUGUUCUUCUUUAAUGCAAUGAUAUGCAGCUGUCAUGCCUGUUCAAGAAAACAAAAGGAGAAAUGCAGAAGGCCUCUAACUCUUGGGUUAAGGUAUACGUAAUGAUAAAACAAGUUUCUACUGAUUGAUAUAGCAAUUUGAUUGAAGGGACAGUGAUUUACAACGACAAAUGGAAUCUUUGACAAGUAUUAGUAUUUUGUGUCUAAACGAGAUGCUGUCCAGUUGUCCACUAAAGCCUUCGGUUGACUGCAACAACAUCAAAGCCUUUCAGUCCCAAGCAAGUUGGAGUAGGCAUUAGAGCAUCACAAAUGACAGUACAUGCACGUUUAGUUCUUACGAGUUAAAUCUAACUUAAAAAUCAAGUAUGAACUGACUGCUAUGUAGAACCCUAACUAGGAUGACCAGAUAAACAAUGUAGAAAAGAAAACUCAAGUAAAAGAACCUGACUAGAGUAGAAUAAUUUAACUUCAGGCCUUAUAGAAUCCAUAUCCCCCUCAAUUAUUUCUGGAACAUACCUGUAUAACAGCAGCUAAUUAUGAUGUUAGGUAAGAAGAGUCCUCCAAAUUAUUUUUCGAUUAAUAUUUUUUAAGAAAAUGACAUUGAAGUCUGAAGAGCAAUGAUUUUUUAGAAGAUUGAACAUCAACCCAGAAUCAUAACCUAAUUAUAACAUACAGUAACUCUUCUAAAAAGACUUUCGGAAAUUAAACACUAAUAAUCAAAGUUCACUUUUCUAUCUUUGAUACCCUAAUCAGCUAACGGAAAAUAAUGAAUUCUGUGAAUCAUUAGCAAGGAUUCUGCAAUCAUCUAAAAGUACUAGGCAUAUUAUGGUAGAUCUUAUAUGUAUCGACAUGAAAAAUAUAUUUAAAAUGCUUGAGAUGUACAACUGGCAGUAAUGCAUACAUGCUUAGGCAUCUUAGCAUAUAGAUUCAAGGAUUUAAGCAAGAGGUAUCUCCUCGCAUCUAUCCUUGUUUCAUCUAUUUUCACUCUUCCACAACCUCCCACUUGUGCACCGCUCUUCACGCAGCGGCACGCCACUACAACCAGGACCAAGUCAAUUGAGUCCUAAAGCCAACUUCGCUGUGUAGGUGUGUGUGUGGGUGUGUUCAGUGCUUGGGUUUUGGUCCUUAACCGGACUCGUUGUACUCUCUUUUCUCUCUUAAUGAAAUGACACGCAGCUCUCCUGCGUCGUUCGAGUAAAAAAAAAGUCCUAAAGCCAAAGCCAUCCCUUCCCCAUCACACAAAAAACAACCAUUCCAUCUGAUUCCCUAGGACAUGGAAACCCAUAAUUUUCUUAUUUUAUAAACAACUGUUCGAUGAGCUCUAGAAAGAACUUAACCUGUACCACAACGUUGGCCCAGAACUUAAGUAAUCCUAUUGAACCUCAACUAAUUACAAAACAAAAUCUAACCCAACCCUCACGGACACAGACACACAUUCAACCAUUUAAUCUAUUUUUGCAUGAGUCUUUUUACGGUCCAUCAAGAGGUACCAAGUGUACUACCAGUUAUAACACGGGAGGUACAAAACUUUGAUACCAGUACCAUUUUUCUGUCCCUACACGUAAUAAUUUUAGUACCCCUGUAAAGUUUUUUUAGUUUUUUUUUUGCAUAAGGCAUAACUAUCCAAUGAAGAAACCUACUCCCUCCGUCACAAAUUACUAUUCGUUUUGGCUUUUCUAGAUACAUACUCCCUCCAUCACAAAUUACUAUUCGUUUUGGCUUUUCUAGAUACAUAGUUUUUGCUAUGUAUCUAGACAUACAAACAUCUAGAUCCAUAUUAAAAGUUUUGUAUCUAGAAAAGCCAAAACGAAUAGUAAUUUGGGAUGGAGGGAGUAUUUCAGAGUAAAUGACCAUUUUGACAUUGAUAAAGACAGCAGUAUAUGGCAGCUUCUAUAAUAAUAACCUUAAGAAUGUUAAAAAUCAAUAAGCACUUUAGUAUGACACAAUGGAGGAAAACUUCACCUAUUUCUGGUGCUUUUCUCAUCUUCAUCAUUGGUCAUAUGAAACAUCUCAUCAAAAAUACGAUUAGCUCCUCCAUCAGCGCAGAUCCUCAAGUUUGCUGUUCUACAUCAAUUUCAAAGGUAAACGUUUAAGGACACUUUUCAUACAAAAGAAAGGAAAAUACACUAGAAUUACCUUGAGCCCAGAGGCGGGGCAUGAAUCGUGGAAGUUGCUGGUUAAGAACGACUAAAGCAUAGUUCAUGACUGGUUUGUUGGCAGGUUGAUGCAGUUUUGGAAGAAGGAAACACGAAGAAUGCAUCAUUACAUCCAUAGUGCGUAUUGUGCGCCACAACAUCUUGACCUCUUGAAGGGGGUACCUCAAGCUAGUGCAACGUUAAUACUGUUUUGGCUGUUGAUACCAAUAUAGAAAAGCAAAUUGUUAUUGUUGCCAAUGCCAUUAUAUGAAAACCAUUUAUCCUACACUACACAGUUGCAUCGCCAAACUGCAGACAAAUAUGAUUGGUUCUCAGGCAACAAUGGCCAAGUAUUUUAACUAGUACUAGCAAUUAGUUGCAUCUAGGAAGGGAAAAUAAAUAUGCCUAUGCCCCCACCCCCCAUCUAAGGAAUUCAAUUAAUGCACUAUUGGAGUGUAACAGAAUGGAAGAGAGGAUGAAUUCUUGUAGCCCUUCUCAUCUUGAGUAAUUUUUGUUUAUCCAUCAUCUUAAAUUAACGCUUGUACCAAGCCCCAUCUUCCUUUCCCACACCAUGAACAUAAAAAAUUUAGUAAUCCAACCUAAUCAGCCGAGAACAGCAUGUCUACUCUGAUUACUCCAUUUGCAUCAUACUAGCAAAUUCAGACUCUGGACAAACUCCAACACAAAAACGUCCUGGUCAUCAAAAUUAAUUGAACGUUCUGCAUUCUUUAGUCAUUGAUUGCAAUACCAAAAUCUCCCAAAAAGGAGAACCCCUCCCAACCUUCCUCUCCCAAAUUGACGGGGGGAAAUAUCAUAUUCAACACCGGGCCAAAGACCCAACCGAAAUUCUGCACCUCCCCCAUGGAAUUCCACACCAGACAGCCCGGGCCACAUCACAAUCCCGCUCCUAUCGAUUUGCCCCGGUAGCCAGAACCCUCGCAUGCACCAAGAUAUCGAUUUCCAACAAUUGGAAUCGUUCUUUGGAGGACCGACGACCACCACAGUAGAAGAAAAUGAAUGGCGAGAGUAACCUCACAAUACUGUGGUGCAGGCAACCCUAAACGGAAGAGGAACUGAGAAUCGCAUGCGGAUCUCACCUCAGGUUACGCGCCGAGGAGGGAGGAUGGGAGGCUCGGAGCCGACCAAGACGCCGCUUUCCAGCGCGGUGCGGGGCGGUGGCGACGGAGAAGAGACUGCUCACAGGUGAAGGCAGGGUGAAGGAAAUAAAAAUGGCAAAGCUCUCCACGGUCGCUUUCGUUGUCAGCAGCCGCAUCUUGAGUUUCUUUUAAUUGUAGCCGCUCGAUGUGCGGCAACCGAUCGUUCCGUUCGCGUGGGCAUCGUCAAAGUGGACCCGGAAACAGUUUCAACGACGUGGACUGGACCAGGAGGUCUCGAUAAUUUGCAGCGAGAACCAGGUUAAAAUACUUCGUAAAUUCGCCAUUUGCGACUGGAACAAGGUUAAAAUACAGGCGGACCGAGGGCAUAAUGUGAGGCGGGCAGCACGAACUAGAGCUCGUGUUUUCAUAAACAUAAUCAGCUAGUUCAAAGCAAUGCCUUUGUAGGAAUAUACACCAAAAAAUAUAGAUUGACAAUAAUAGAGAUUUUAUGAUAAUUCUGGAACCAUAAGUAAUAUUUGCUGAAUUGCACGUCAUUGACCGGAAACCGACAAUUGUGUUUAUUGACAAAGGGAAAUGAAAAGGUCCCAACCUCUGUAUCUUUCGAUACAUCUGGCUGUUUUUAUUACAAUCCAAAAAGUUUUUUUAUAGACUCCAUCAACUAGGAAGCAACACAUCCAUUUUCUUCUGGUCAAGACAACCACUUGUCAAGCUAGAGUCAAGGCCCCGCAUCCAGUGGCGGAGUUAGGAUUAAGAUCAAGCUGGGGCCAAUUUCAUCAUGAUGUUAACCUAUAACUCAAGUGCUAUAUUAUGUAAGCGCAAAUUAACUCCAUAGAAAUAUAUUAUAACUAGUAUGAAAAAUCAAUCAAAUAUGUGAAGGUAUCAAGAAGAAUGGGCAGUGAUUUGCAUAUAGCAGGCAUACUUAGCAGUUAAUAAAACUAGCUGAGAGAGCAAGUGCUAGAAGGUGAGACAUGCAUGCAAGCAGCCAUGCAAAUUUACAACAGCAUUGUAUCAGUAGUAGCUGAGUAGAAGCGAGUGCGCUGGCCUUUCAUUUCUUCGGAACUUUCCCCUGAGCGAGGGGGGGCCAUGGCCCACCUUGGCCUCCACCUAGCUCCGCUAGUGCCCGCAUCGCCCACACAGGCGAUACGGGCGACUCGCUUGCAACGCUGCCGCCGGACCGUUUCCACCACGUUCCUCCACUCACCGCUGGCUGAGCGGGACGUCUGGAAGCCCGGAGCUCCCAAGGGCAGCGGCGAGGCAUCCUCCCUAGGGCAGCACGGGGAAGUUGUCUCGGGCGGCUUCAAUCGCAACGACCGGCGUGGCUCCGAUACGGCGUCGCCGCAGCCGGAUCUGGUGCCCCAACCGCUGGUGACCUCGGGGCCGAUCUGGCAUCCACAGGGGUGCGAAGGGCUGGUGCCACGGGUGGCUGCCGCUCAGGUCGUUAUUCCCCCCCUCGUCCGUUGGCCGCCCCGGAAGGGAAGCAGCGCCUCACCCUGCAGCUGCUAGAAUUGGUGCCUUGGGUGACUGUUCGGCCCUCAUGGCCGUUGCUCCGACGGACGUUCAGUUAGUUUGGCAUAUGGCCUCGCCCGACAUCGUCUUGCUUCUAGGGCUGCUUGGUGCUCCUCAUGGUGUGCUGUUUGUCCUGUUUGGUCAUCAUCAUGCAGGUUGGAUGUGAGUGUCAUUUGUGAAAGCCUGAUCUUGUUGACCACGACAACAGUAACACCUAUAAGUGCCGCUCCCCUCCUUGAAGGUGUUGUCACGGUGUCCCCUCCCUCCUACCAUGUUCUCCAAGGUGAAAACUUUGCUUCGAUUCGGACGGACAGUGGUGGUGUGCUGCAUCAUGACCUCCUUGGACGCGCCGUCCCGGGGAACCUUUUGCUGCGCUUCAAUCCACUGCUUUGGGUACUGCAUUUGCCCCAAUUCAGGAUCUUCAAUAGCUCGUGUUGGGUGUCUUGCAUGUUCUCAUUGCCCUUUGGUAGGGGUGAGGCUGGUUUUAGUGGCCUUUUUUGUUUGGUGGUCAAAGCUUCAAACCAAGUUGAGGGAGUUUCUAUUCACCAAACUUGAUUUAGCUCAAGCUCCGGUUCUACUUUCUCCGGAAGUGAGAUGAACUUGGAUCAUUUGGAAUCGACAUUACGAAACAAACCGCGGAAGAAUGACUCUAGCUCCAAUUGACUCCAACUACAUUUGUCGUUGUCGAGAUUAGCGGAUCAAAACUACGGCAAGUAAAUUUCCUUUAUGCGCGUAAGGCUUCGGAUGGUGGCGUGAGAGGACACGGGGUUAGACUGGUUCGGGCAAGGAAAGCCCUACGUCUAGUAUGAGGAGCUGCUCAUGUUACUCACGUGUGGUCUGUAGUGGGGGUUACAAACAGGCGAGAGAGGGAGCCGGUCCCAAGUCUCUUGGGUGUGCACUGAUGCUCGUGAGGUGAGUAUGUGGGUUCUGUUGGCUUCAGAGUCCUCCUGUUCUCGGGGCCGCUGGUUCUCCUUUUAUAGCGCAAGGAGGGCUCAGGGUUACAGGUGAGCUAGGUGUGAGGAGAAGUAAGAGAGAUGAGCUAAGUAAAGUAAAAUACAAGGAGAAGGACCAAGUCCCCGGAUCGCCGCCUCCUGCUCCGGCCUUCGGCUCCUGUCCGCGCAGCCACCGAAAGAGGGCGGCUGUCGCCGGAUCCUGUCGCCGGUCCUCCGGGCGACCGUUGCCGCCGAGCAUGAUGAUGAUGUCCGGCCGCCAUAACCGUGCACGUUAGGGGGAUGGCUGACCCCUGUAGUCCUACUUACCGCCCGUGGAACACGGACAUCGCGUCCUUGUCGCCGGAUAGGCCGAGCACGAGAACGGGCGGCGCUCCCUCCUGUGCCGGGCGACGCAUGGAAUGAGUGCCCUGUGGCGAAUCAGGGGAGCCGCGGCCACUGUAGCCUGUGCGGUCGUAGCUACAGUGUUCCGCCCGGGUACUUGUGGCGGGUCAUGUCGAGGGGUGCGGGCGCCUUUCUGCGCGCUAGAGCCGCGACGCAUUUAUGGCAAGAUCAGUGGGGGGCCCACGAGAUCCGCGCCUGAGGCGGACCCUUGUCUUGUGGGCCCGAAUGAGUCCGACCCUCUACGCCCGGGGUCGGGCGAGGCGGAGCCUUGCGGUGAGGGGUCGGGUGCACCCGACCCUGGGACCGUGGGUCGGGCGAGGCGGAGUUUCGCCAGCGAGGGGUCGGGCGUGUCCGACCCCGGAGCCCUGGGUCGGGCGAGACGAAGUGGUAUGCUCCUUGCCCAUGCCGGUCGGCGGUGAUCGUCAUUACCGCAAGUGGGUCUGGGCCUUCAUGAUUGUUGUUUUAAGGGGUAUAAGGAGGUCGUUAAUAUUUCGCCCCAAUAACAUUCAACUCUAGCUCCAAUUGACUCCGCACUCCAAGUUUGACUAGUUGGUAGCGAUUUUCUUGGCUCCAGCCCUACCACGAUUAUACGGACGAGAUCCAAGUGAUGGCAAUGCUUGAUGUUGUGGAGUUGCCCUCACUAGUGAUUGAAGAGUAUCCUGGUCCCCUAAGUGGGAUUUGGUGAGUUAAUGACACAAAGCUGAAUUGUCUAAUAAACAUUCAAGUGCAUGAGCAGGUAUAAAAAGAUUGGUGGACAUGUAGCACUAAUGUAUGACCCUAAAAAAGAAAAUGAAGUGUGGACGUGGCAUAUAUUAAAGACUAAAUUUAUUUUCAGUUUGAAAUUGAGUUUAAGAAUGUUGCGCUAUUAAGAGGGAUAUGUAUCUAUGGUCUAAGAAGGUGCUCAAGAUGCUCUAACCAACCUAUGAGAGACAUUUUUACACUUGCACUUCACAUGGGAUAUAUACAAAGAGGUGCUGACCUGAGAGUUCCGGAGUUUCCGUAGAAAGUUGCGGAAUACUCCGGAGGUUCUGGAGUUUUCUGCAGAAAGUUCCGGAACCUCCGGAACUUGCCAUCCCCAACGGCUAGUUUUUGGUGAAGGGGUAUAAAUACCCUCUCACCCCCUCCCACAGCAACUCUCUCGACCUAACUUCGACCUGAGCUGCUCAGAAACAUUCAAAGUCCCUCUUUACUCCCCUCUUAGCUUCUUGGUGAGAUUUGGUGGGGAUUUAAGGAGGGAUUCAAGGGAAAGCAAGGGAUAGUGCUAGUGAGCUGAUUUACCAUCUCUUGAACACCUUGUUCUUCGCUAAGCCGAUGGAUUUUCAUGUUUAUUACUCUUGGAGCUUCAACCUCCUAGCCAGCUAGGCGUUGCUCGUGGAGCUUCCAAGUUUAUGGGCUGCCCCGGGAAGUUUGUAUUGCUCCGACGAUUGAGUAAGUGACUAUAGCUUGAUCUUUGUGGUUGCUAGAGUGAGGAAAGUGGCUUAGGUGUGAAAAGCCCACCCUUUAUGAGUUUCUCAACGGAGACAUAGGCUUCAAGUAUGAGCUGAACUCCAGUAAACAAAUCCCUGUGUCUCUUGUGCUUGUUGCUUUACAUUUCCUUCUUAUUCAAGCAUAAAGUUCAUAUCUAGGGUUUGUGCUCGAUCUACUUUUCUAGAAGGUUUCUAGCUAUUACAUCUGGUGAUUAAGGCUCAGUAUACCUUGUUGUUGCUUGUCCUAUAUUCGUUGAUCCACUUUUGGCUAAGCUUUGUAUAGGAUGUUAGUGAUUUCGUUGUGAUCUCCAAGAAUCCGAAGAUUUCUCUGAAAAUUCCGCAAGUUGCGAAAUUUUUAGAACAAUCUUCGGGAACUCCAAAAGUCGCUAAUAAAAUUGUUCAAAGUUAUGAAAAUUUUCAGAUUCUAACUAUUCACCCUUAUCUAGUCGACAUAUCCUUUCAAGCGCGACCUUCCUUCGUUGCUGACACAGAUCGGCCCUCUCUCGUGUCAUGCAAGACAGAAACGCGUGUGGAGCCCCAACCGACUGCGAGCCAGGCUCCGCCGAGAACUUGGCUGCAAAUCGAGCAACCAGCUAGCCACUAAAUCGGCUCCACUUUGUGCGAAUUGUGCUCUCUGCUACCAAUCAACCAACGAGGAAAGUAUUAGGAAGGCCAACGAUGUGCGAAGCCAGAGCAAGGACCGAAGGCGACCAUGGCGGCGAGGAAGUAUUAGGGAGGGGUGGCAGGGGCGGAAAGGAGCUAAUUAGGAGCGGAGCGGGGGAGAAUGUUUUAAUUGCCUCUGCACGUCGUGUUGAAAACACAAAUCGAUUAGUGCUGAUUCGGGAGGGAAGCUGGUCGGAGCAUAGGUGUUUGGUAGCGCUCCUCAGAUUGUCGUGUGGAGCUAGUAGGGGAACAGUACCAGACGCCCCCUGAAGAAAGCCAUUGUACCCCUUAUGCUCCAUGAAUUGAGAGCCGUUCUUUUGCUGGUCUCUCUCUCCAUCCGUCCGGAGCACGGCAUCGUUGUCCUGCCAAAUUUAAUGAUUUUGUUUCCAUGCAAUUUGUUAGUCCUAUGGUUCGUAUUGAUUUUUUUUCUGACAUGGUAACAGACCGUCUGAUGAAAACAAACAACGAGCAUGAUCAUCCAUUCCGUAACUGAUUCCCAUGUGAUUUAUUACAAUUGAGUUUAUGUUACCACUCCACCGAUCAAACAACACCUUAGCCGUGGUUUGAUUUCUCCUGCUUAUUUUUAGCACCCGUCACAUCGAAUAUUUAGAUACUAAUUAGAAGUAUUAAACGUAGACUAUUUACAAAACCCAUUACACAAGUGGAGGCUAAACGGCAAGACGAAUCUAUUAAGCCUAAUUAGUCCAUGAUUUGACAAUGUGUUGCUACAGUAAAUAUUUACUAAUGAUGGAUUAAUUAGGCUUAAUAGAUUCAUCUCGCCGUUUAGCCUCCACUUAUGUAAUGAGUUUUGUAAAUAGUCUACGUUUAAUACUCGUAAUUAGUAUCUAAACAUUCGAUGUGACACGUGCUAAAAAUAAGCAAAGGGAACCAAACGUCCCCUUAGUUUGAUUUCUUGUAAGGGUCCUUUUCACAGGGGAGGACUCAAUAAUGCUAGCAGAGGUGAAAGGGUCUCUAGCAUAGUAGUUAGAGCACUUGAGUAGCACCUAACAGGUCCAGAUUUGAUUUCCCAUGUGAGCUAAUUGAAUGGGCUAAAAUAAAAUAAUAUAAAAAGUAGGUAUAAGUUUCCUCUACUGACUUCGAUAUGAUCGAAAACAUAAUGCUAGAAGAGGGCUUGGUGCUCAAAUUUGUGCUUUCUAGUUACGAGUGCGCGCCCCAACCAAUGGUUUUAAUUAGAGUACAGACAUAAACUUUGCUGGUGGUAUACGUGCUACCUAUACUCCAUUGUUAAUAUGGCCGAUAUACCUUCUCGAGCAAUAAUAAAUAUGUUUUAGCGUCUGGGCGUUUGGUCUUAAGAAAAGAGCCUCUUUAAUCUUAUUCAUGUCUUUCGUUGUCAACGUUUGGUCUUAAGAAAAGAGCCUCUUUAAUCUUAUUCAUGUCUUUCGUUGUCAAAGUAGAAAUCACUACGGGAGGCAGAACUUUUGCCGAGUGCCUGGGGCACUCGGCAAAGGCCUGAAAACACUCGGCAAACCCUUUGCCGAGUGUAACACUCGGCAAAGGGCACACGGCAAAUGUUGUGUCGGCAAAGCCUAGUUUGCCGAGUGUCAAAACUUGGACACUCGGCAAACAUGUUGCCGACGGCCGAAAAACACUCGGCGACCAUAUGUACUCGGUGAAUUGCGGGCUGACGCCGUCGGGUAACGGCGAGUUUGCCGAGUGCCAAACGGGAGGCACUCGGCAAACACCUGGUCUUUGCCGAGUGCCAACACUCGGCAAAGACAGGGCGUUUGCCGAGUGCCAGGCGCGUGGCACUCGGCAAACAUGGUCCCUUUGCCGAGUGCCACGCGCCUGGCACUCGGCAAAUCCGGCUCUGUUUGCCGUGUGCCGGCACCCGGGCACUCGGCAAACCGGCCCCCUUUGCCGAGUGCCCUGACCAUAGCACUCGGCAAAGGACCUUUCCUUCACCUGGGAAAUGCCCCUUUGCCGAGUGCUAUGGUCAAGACACUCGGCAAAGGCCCCUCUUUGCCGAGUGUAACACUCGGCAAAGUGACCACAACCGCCCCUUUUUCGAUAUUUUGCCACGUAUAACGGACCCCUCUCAAUUCACAAUACACAUAUCACAGGCAUUUGUAAUAAACAACCACAUAAAUAAUUCACAACCACAUGCAUAAUUCAUAAACACCACAGGCAUAGUUCAACAUAAGCACGAAAUAAUCCAUAAAUCCAAGUUCUUCUCACAAUUUAGUUUCCACAUUGUUCACAAUCAAGUCUACUUCCGUGGAGGCCAAGGAGACCACUGCGACAAAUCUUGAUCUUCAUUAUUCGAAGCCGCCGAUUGAUUCUGCACAUAGGAUAGGACAUUCUGAGGUAACAUCUAAAGUUGUCAAAUUUAAACUAUUGAAUAUUAAACACAAUGUGUCAAGUGACUCACAGGAGUAGUCGUGGGUGGCUGAGGCGGAGGGAACAUCAUCGGCGGUGGCGGAGGCAAAGUCUGUCCCAUGCUCGUAGCAAAGUUCUGCAUGUACUGGAACAUCUGCUCCAUCCUAAUCCGGUUUUCCUCCUCCAUCCUCCGCUGCAUUUCCUCCAUCUGCGCCGCCAUCUCCUCUUGUUUCUUCCUUGAUUCUUCCACCUGGGCCUACAAUAUUUUAUUGCAAUGUUAUAAUGCAAAGCUAAAGUACAACAACAAACGAACGAUGAAUGGAAGAGAAAGAACCUGUAGAGCCUCCAUCUGGAACUGUGCAGCGGUGGGUCGUGGGCGUACCGCCGGGCUCGAGUCCGUGCUCCUAGCUCGGAUCUGGGAGAGAGUGGGAGUAGAGGCCGUGUCGAGGACGCCGUCGCCAAUCCAAUAUCGGCCAUGCUUCUUGCCUCCUCCCACCCUCAUCACGAUUUCUCCAUCAAUGUCCUCGGAGCUCGGAUCGAAGUCUGGCCCGUGAACCUCCCUAGCCAUCUUUGUAUACUCGCUGACGCGGCUGUAUAUGCUAGGGUGGUUGUACGCCUCGGACGGGUCGUCUGGGUUGAAAUCUAUAUCGGCCGUCGCCUUGCCCUUUUUGGAGAGGACCCAUGCCUUGAGCUGGGAGCAAGGUCGGCCAUCAUGUGACACCGACUGCAGCAAAAUACAAAAUCAUUAAAAAUUACGUAGAACUGAACGUUACAAUAAAGAAUUGAAGUUGCGUACCCAUUUUUCUCUAUAUUCAUCAAGGCUUAGGCUGCCUUGAUGGUGUGAUGCAGUCGGCAUCUGCAAACGCCGCUGCCGGCAAGAAAGGUGGGUCUCCAACCACCCGGGCUCCAACCACACGUCGACCAUCCUCUCCCAGCACGGCAUAUGCGCACGACACCACCACGGAGGCACCUACAUCAUCAAGCGUGUGACGUAUGAAAAAGAAAAUGAGCCUAAUUAAUCAUAAAUAUAGUAAGCAUCAACGUUCUUUACUUACCCUCAUGAAUUGAUCCUUAGUCAGGUUCAUUGUUCUUGCCUCCUCUUUUCUAACCUUCGUAUGAUUGUAUUGAGCGUUGAACUCUAUGAUGGCCUGGAUGCGCGCCUCGUAAUGCAUGUCCCUCACGAGCUUCUUGGCGGCUACAUCACAGACGGCCUUCGCCUUGGCCUCGAACCCCUCCUGGCAUCUAUAAAAGUCCUGCAUAUACACGCGUAAACAGUUAUUAUUUCAAGAAUGUCGAAAGUAGCUGAUGUAUUGAGCAAUUUAGUACGAGGAGUACUUACCCACAGCUCGGCCUUGACCCGCUCCGCUAUGUUGGGGAAUCUUCUCUGUUGACGAUCAGGGACGUCGGGGGCGGCAACGUAGUAGUCCCACGUCUAGGCCGGCUGCAGCUGUCCGGCGUACACCACCAAGCUAGGGAAGUGAACCCUGCACAAAAGGCCAAGGAUCCCGUUGGCCUUACGGUUGUGGUCACCCCCGCUGAGCUUAACCCAACUCCUGCACAAGUAAUUAAUAUGAAUUAUUAGUUUUUGUAACUUACAACAUAAGAACAAUUUUAAGAAUAUUUAAAGUUACUUACUUGGUCCCAACCGGUUUAAUGAGCGGGCGUAAAUGCUCAGGUAUCGGCCGCUUCGGGAGGGAUGAGGGACCUCGCAACCAUAUCUUGGCCUGGGUAUCCCCUGCCUCCCCGUCCCCCUCCUGCUCCUGCUGCUCCUCCUCCUCCGCCUCCUCGUCCCCAGAGGAGUGUGCGGAAGGUACCUCCUCCUCCUCCUCCUCCUCCUCCUCCUCCUCCUCCUCCUCCUCCUCCUCCACCUCAGGUUCAGGCGACGGGGGCCUCACCGCUUUACCUUUCCCUCGAGGCCUCUGGACCACCUCCUGCUCCUCCUCCUCCUCCUCCUCCUCAACCCUACGUCGAGGCCUGCCUCGACGCCUCCCUCGACCACUCCCUGAACGUGACCCUGACCCUGAACCAGUCCCUGCCGCGACCAGUCUCUCGCAAAUCGACGUGAGCUUCCUGAUACCGCCCACCAUUGCUUAAUGACCUGCAAUUAAAAAGAGUACACGAGUCAGCAUAGACAAACAAAACAUAAUUACAAAUAUAUGCAAAUUACAAGUAAUUAUAGCUAAAUUAUUACGAAUCAUACAUGUAUUAGAAAUAAUCAUCAUGAUCGGGAUUAGCUGGAUCAUAAGUCUCAUCAUCACUAUCACGCGUGUUGAUAUAGUCAAGCUCGUGCUCCGAAGAAGGAAUGUCGUCAUCACUGUCAUUAUCUAACUGUAAUCGUUGAAGUAAUUCUAAGUCCUUCACAUUCUGAACCUCGUCUCCACCGUCCUCUGCAGCAACCCUCUCGUUGUCUACUUCCAUUCCGAUCGCUUCGGUUAAAUCUAUCACAAAACUCCCUUCGAGCCCAUCUUCUUGAAAUAACUCUCCUUCGUACGUGUCGGGGUCUAUAUUGUAAUCUUCAUUGUUUGGUACAGGUAGUUUACCGUGUGGCGAUACCUUGUACACAACAUCCCAACCCUUAAGACGGCUGUCGGUUUGGCACGGGUAUGAUAAAUAAUAAACUUGCGUGGCCUGUUGAGCCACAAUAUAGACAUCGUCUCCUAGUAACCUGGAUGACUGUCGAAUUUCAACUAGCCCAAGGUUAGGGGCCCGUCUCACGACAGAUGGAUCAAACCAAUGGCAUUUGAAUAUAACUGGAUUAAGAGGUUUGCACCCAUGAAAAGUGAGUUCGUAUAUUUCUUCAAUUCUUCCGUAGUACUCGACUCCAUCGGAGCCUGGCGUGAAAACUCCGGUAUUUGUGGUUCUUCGAUUGGGCCGACUCUGCUCGUGCCUUGUUGUGUGAAACCUAUAUCCGUUGACGUCAUAACCGGCAAACGACCUGACCCUAUAGUCACAGCCAUCGGCAACCUGUCUCAACUCGACAUUCAUAGACGCAUCGGUUCGGCCCUGCAAGUACGAACAGGGCGGUUCGUUAUAUUAAUCGUAUGCACGAGUAUCUAGAAUGUUCGCGGAAAUAAAAUUUUACCUUCUGUUUGAACCAAGAAAUGAAAUUGGGCAUUCCAUUUACCGCACCCUCUUUAAGAAGAGUCUCAGCUUCGUGCGGGGUCGGUUGCCUUGAUUUACGCCAGAAUUGACGAUGAAAUUGCCUAUGCCAAUGAGAAAGAUACGUUUAGGCAAGAGAUACCAUUAAUACGUCGAAACAAGUUUGUCGAUGACUUACAUCAUGUACGGCUCCACUUCAGAUAGGUUGGUCAACACAUAUAGCAUGAUAGAGCGCCACUCUUCAUGAUUAAGGGUCUUGCGGGUCGCACCACUUGCACUUCCGAGUUGCCCUCGGAAAAUGCUAAGGCUUAAUUCAUCUUCGCUAGCAUUGUAACGAGGAGGUGGAUUAUGCACACUAGGAAGGUUCUCAGCGUAGUAUUUCGAUGUGAAGUUUGACACCUCCUCCAGAAUGUAUGCCUCUGCAAUGGAUGCUUCAAUUUUGCACUUAUUCUUACAUUUAGUUCGAAGAACCUUUUGACAUCUCUCAAUUGAGUAGCACCAACGACCCUGCACAGGCCCCCCCAUUCGUGCUUCAUACGGGAGGUGUAGAAUCAUAUGCUGCAUUGGAUUGAAGAAGCCUGGAGGAAAGAUCUUCUCCAACUUACAAAGCAACACAGGCGCCAUUGUUUCCAUUUCUGCAACCACGGUACGAGAUAACUCCUUCGCACAAAGCCGGCGGAAGAAAUUGCUCAACUCCGCUAGCACCUGCCACACAUGCUCAGGGACAUAGCCUCGAACCAUCACCGGAAGGAGGCGCUCAAGCCAUAUAUGGUAAUCAUGACUCUUGAGCCCGUUGAUUCGCAUAGUUGCUAAAUUCACUCCCCUCUUCAAGUUCGCUGCAUAGCCAUCAGGGAACAUUAAUGUUUGGAACCAUUCUAGAACCUCCCUCCUUUGGGCCCUCGUCAGAACGAAAUCGGCCUUAGGCUUCCUCCAUGACUUGCCAGCUCUUGGAGGCGCCAUGUUUAGCUGUGGUCUGUUGUACAAUGUCGCUUGAUCCACUCUAGCCUUAACGUUAUCCUUUGUCUUGUCAGGAAUGUCCAUUAUUGUACCAAAAAUUGCCUCGGUGAUAUUUUUUUCCGUGUGCAUUACAUCAAUGUUAUGUGGAACAAGGAGAUCAUCAAAAUAUGGAAGGUUCCACAAGCACGACUUCUGCGUCCAAGCAUGUUGCUCGCCAUAUCCCAAAAAACCACCUUCUUCAAUAUUGAACUCAAGAGCGUCUAACUGAGCACGAACUGCGGCCCCUGUCAUCAUCGAUGGUGCGGGGGCUGUAACUACAACAUCUUUGGUAAAGUUCUUCAUGUCUCGUCUAAAUGGAUGGUCAGGAGGGAGGAAUUGUUGAUGUUUGUCGAACGAGGAAUAUUUGCCCCCUUUCGACAACCAAAUGAACUUCAAAGAUGCUUUACAUACUGGGCAAGGGAACUUCCCGUGAACACACCAUCCAGAGAAAAUCCCAUAUGCCGGCAAGUCAUGCAGUGAGUACUGGUACCAAACAUGCAUCUUGAAGUUUCUCUGGAUUAUAGCGACGGCCAUUUUUGUGCCAUGUCAUCUGUUUCGCGGAUUCUUCAGUCAUGAAAAGCCGUUGAAUCCUCGGUAUGAAAGGAAGAUACCGUAGAACCUUCACAGGAAUUGCGAGCUGCUUUUUCUGACCGUCACCAUAGUCAACCUCCAGAAAUCUAGACGAUUCACACUUCACACAGUAUUUUGCUUCCGCAUACUCUUUCCUAAAUAAGAUGCAUCCCUUCGGGCAAGCAUGUAUAUGCUCGUAUGGCAUCUUAAGUGCACGAAGGAGUUUCUGUGCCUCAUACAUGCUCUUUGGCAAGAUGUGACCAACCGGGAGCAGGCUUCCAAAAACUGUCAACAUAAUAUCAAACGCGUCUCGACUCAAACUAAACUGAGACUUCACAGCCAUUAGGCGUGCAAUGGCAUCUAGCUGAGAAACCUUGGUAUGGCCGUGAAGGGGUUGCUGUGCCGCAGACAACAUUUCGUAAUAAGCCUUAGCGGUAGCCACUGGCUCCUCCUCCCUACGUGCCUCUUCGAAGUGUGCUUCAUGAAAGUCAUUUAACAUGUCUCCCACCUCGGCAUCAUCAUCAAACUCCUCGAUUCGUUGUCUCAAGACCUCCUCUCUCCCACGGUCAGAUUCACCAUGGUAGAUCCACCUGGUGUAGUCUGACGUAAAUCCGUUCUUCACCAGAUGUUUGCCCAUCUCCAGCUUGGUUUGCCGACGCAUGUUUCCACAUUUGCUGCACGGACACCAAGUCGAUCGAGCUCCAUUGACACUUGCAAACGCCCGUUCCAAGAAAGCAUCCGUCUUGUCAAGCCAUUCAUUGGUCAACGUAUUCUGACUAGUGCGACCCGUGUACAUCCACUGACGAUCCUCCAUCCUCUACCAUUUAAAUAAGUAAUACAAAAUUCACAUGGCAUAUACACGCUCCUAUAUUGUCUACUAGGUAAAGAUAGGUCCUAAUCCCACCCGAGGAUGUGUAGGUGGGUUUAGUAUCCAUGGUCUACUCCGACCCGAGAUAAAAUUUCGGCAGCACCUCCCCGCUGUUCUCCAAAUACACGUCCUUGAUAGGAGAUUGUGUAUCUAGAGAACAACAGGGAGGUGCUGCCGAAAUUUUAUCUCGGGUCGGAGUAGACCAUGGAUACUAAACCCACCUACACAUCCUCGGGCUGUCCAAAAAACGUGGACAAUUCGAAACAGAUACGAUUAUAGAUAUGCAAAGAUCUGCAUAUUUCCAACCGUAUCUCUUUCGAACGGGAGACGCCUAACUAGGUUACGUGAUAUACGAACAUUAUACGGAAAUAGAGGUGUAGCAUGCCUCACCUUGCUAUCCUGCAAAGUGACGAGUCGAGGACGGUCCUUGUAAGCCUCUCCUGCAACAAAAGAAACAAAGCAUUGUUUAAGUCAAAAUUUCGGCAGCAUCUCCCCUGCACGGGGAGCUUUCCAAAACCUGCAACAUAAGAAACGGCACGAUGGCCGACAACCACAAUCCCACUAAAGAGUUGGCACGAUGGCCAACAACCACAACCACAACCACACAUCUCUAUUACCAACCACACCUCUCUUCCAUUCAUGCAUUCUCUACUAUUCUUCCUCUAUUCUCUAAUAUUCUUCCUCUAUUCUUCAUCUAUUCUCUAAUAUUUUUCCAUUCAAGGAAGAAUCAACAUUUUCUAAUUUCUACUCUUCCUCUAUUCUUUGCAAUGUUAUCAUGCAUUCUUUAAUAUUUUCAACUUACCGGAGGGGCGGCCGGGGGACGGUGCGGCGGCCGGACGCCCGGACGAGGACGGCCGCGGGGGGCCGGCGCGGGAGGCCGGCCGGGGGCGCAGGGGAGGCCAGCCGGGGCCGCAGGGGAGGCCGGGGCCUUAUCCCGGCCCGGGCGGCGGCGGCGGCGCGGGUCGGCGGCGGCCCCGCGGGGCACCCGGGCGGCGGCGGCGGCGCGGGGCGCCCGGGCGGCGGCGGCGGGCGCGGGUCGGCGGCGGCGCGGGCGGGCGCGGGGGGCCGGGCGGCGGGGCGGGCGCGGGGGGCCGGGCGGCGGCGGCGCGGGCGCGGGGGCCGGGGCGGCUGCGGCGGCUAAGUGUUGGCGUGCUAAGUGUGUGGCCGGGCGUGUGUGUGAUUCGAAGGGUAGAUCAGGGGCUUGGGCUUUGCCGAGUGCCCGUGAUGUAGCACUCGGCAUACCCUUUGCCGAGUGCUAGAUCAGGGGCACUCGGCAAAGUAUAUUCUUUGUACCGAAAUUCGUACUGAGGCUUACACGUGGACCCGGUGUCACCUUUGCCGAGUGCCCUUGAUCUAGCACUCGGCAUACCCUUUGCCGAGUGCUAGAUCCAGGGCACUCGGCAAAGGGUAUUUUUUUUCCCCGAAUUUUGUACUGACACUGCGACGUGGACCCGGGGUGACUUUGCCGAGUGCCCUAUUUGUGACACUCGGCAAACCAUCCUUUUGCCGAGUGCCCUAUUUGUGACACUCGGCAAACCAUCCUUUUGCCGAGUGCCCAACGUAGCACUCGGCAAACACCUACCUAUAUUGCAUGUACAACAACACUUUUAGUAAUUAAAAGUACGUAAACUUUGCGUAAACCUAGUCCAAUUCACUAAACAUUGCGUAUUCCAUUUUUUAAGUAAUAUUGUACCAUUAUUUCAUGGAUUUAUAGCUCAUAUUUAAUUUAUAUCUAUUAAAUUCAUAUACGUCCAAUUAAUGAAUAAAAAUUACCAAACGGAACUGAAAAUUUCCCAAGAUUUGACAUGAACCUAUCUAUGUUCUCUAUAGCCUAUAAAAAAAAUUUGGACUCAAUGAGAAUUACAUUUAUCGAUUCAUCUCUAAAUCUUACCGGAUCCUUUGAACUUCUCUGAAACCUCUCCGGAGAUGCUUCGAAUUGUAAACAUCAUAUGUCAAAACUUGUGCUAAACCUUAUCAUUUUUUUACCACGGCCUCUUCAUAUGAAAUCAAAGCAUCUUGCAAAAUCUCAUGAUUUUCAAACUUCGUUUGUAUUUUUGAGAAUUAAACAAUCAUUUGGCCACACGUUCGUAGUCGUGUUUCCUUAGCAAAAUGUUCGAAAUUUCUUUUCAUUUUCUGGGUGAGACCUCAAUUUAGACUCACUAACAUGAAUAUGAUUUUUUCACUCAUAUUAUUCCAUUAUUCCAACCACCUGCAGUUCAAAUUUGACUUAAAUCAAAAAAUUACUCUAAAUGAAAUUAAUUGAUUAAAUAUAGCAAACAGGUCAAAAAAUAGUCCAUCUUCUACCAUGCAGUGCCAAAUGCCAUACAUGUGGAGUGUAAAAAGUUUUGAGGGUGGAGGAGGGGAAAAAAAAUUAUGUUUGCCGAGUGUGUGAAAAGACACUCGGCAAACUAUAGGGUUUGCCGAGUGUACUUCCUAGCACUCGGCAAACUAUAGGGUUUGCCGAGUGUCCCAUCAAGACACUCGGCAAAGACUAUAGUUUGCCGAGUGUCCCAUCAUGGCACUCGGCAAACUAGUGCCUUUGCCGAGUGCCCUAUAUUGACACUCGGCAAACACUAACGGCCGUCACGGAGGGGCGCCGCCUGCGGCACGGGGAAGUCACGUGGGCGUCAUGUUGCCGAGUGUCAAAGUUUGCCGAGUGCCUGUUGGGUGUUUGCCGAGUGUUUUUUGGGUGGCACUCGGCAAACCGGUCGUUCGCCGAGUGUUUUAUUUUUGCCGUGUGUUUUUUAUGUUACACUCGGCAAAAUGGUGCUUCGCCGAGUGCCCGAAAGAAAGCACUCGGUGAAGUAAUUACACUUGGCGACGUUAUGCUUUCCCGUAGUGAAUAUGCUCUAUAUUAGGAUCGUGCCCGUGCGUUGCUACAUGCUUACAUCAUGAUUAAAUAAAAUAACACCUGUUUAAUAUUAAAAACUAUAAAGUAAACCAAUAACGAGGGAAAUCAUUCGCAUUUAGAAAACCAUAAAAGACAACGUCAGAAUUGGUUUCUUGCAGUUUUGCUCCCUCAACAGACCAAACGCAAGCAGCAUCUUUAAUUACUGAUGGAAUUCACUGAGCAAAGUAGCAAUCCGUGCUAAAGAACAAUGUAGACCGCAUUAGAGGUGAAUAACAUGGGACCAAUCUGUAUAUCUUCGAAUGAUAGGCUUUACCUUUCAUCGUUUACAGCUAGGAAAGGCUACAAAGAAUGUGAACAGUUUCAAAAGAAAUGACAAGUCAAGUAGAUAUCGUCAUCUUUACCUGUAAUUUGUCUGUUUUUCAAAUUAACCAGAUGUAGUGCAUUCAUAACACUGCAAUGCAAAUUCAAUCAUGAGUUUCCAGCCCAUGAGAGAGGUAUACAUAAGGAUCUUAAACGAAGUACGACGUUUUGCCUCGGUUUUAUUUUUUAAGCUAUAGAGAAAAUAAUUUAUAAUAUUUAUAUGUGGUAUUAGAGAGGAAAUUUUUGUGAAAAUUUUAAUAUAAACUCAUACAUCAGAGCAUAAUUUCUCUCUAAGGUAACACUACUACACAAUUGAUAUUGUAGAAGCGACGUGUUUUUUUUCCCAAGGGUGGACGAAAAGAAGCUAGGUCCGAAAACCACACCGCGCACCGUAGCAGCCGUCCCAGACAGGAAUCGUCCCUGCAAAGAGCCAUUUCUAGAGCUAUAAACAGCUAUUUUUAACUGCAAAAAGCAAAAACGGACGCCGGAGCCACCCCUUCAAAUGUGUUUUUACCCAUCCCUACAAACUCUUUCCGUAGUAGUCUAAAUCAUGUCAAAUAAAAUGAAGCGCUUGGAUGCUUUUGUAAAAAUUGCAACAAGUUUGACAAUAAUAAAUGUUGUAAUUUGGAAAUGGAAUAUUCUUUUGGAGUUUAAUUCGUGACAUUUGUUCUUCAUUUUUGAACACCUCAUGUACAUUUCUAAGGAUGUUAAGAAUAUUGUAUUGUGUAUUCUGAUUCAUGAGUGUGUGAAUUUGGUUUCUCCAACGAAUUGUGUUGACGUAAAAAUUGGACUUCAGACUUCUGCAUUGAACAACACGGAGGACCUGGGAAAUCUAAGUGCACGCUCCAAAUUGGCUUGCGAGUGGUGCAAGGCAUGCCAGUCAAUUUAACCUGAAAAUUGAUAAGGUAAACAUUAAAUUUCUAAGCCGAUCGGCGGCGAAGCCUUUCGAACUCAUGGGUAGGUGUUAUUGGAAUAAACACCACAAUAGACAAGUUUUAGUGUAAUCAUGCGGUGUAAAUAAAUAAAGUAUUAAUGUCAUGUACCAUGGGCUGUAAGAGUCGACGGGCUAAGAUAAAGUAUUAUAAAAUGACAGCCAUAAAGGUGCCCUGGCUAACCAUACGCACAUAAGAUAAACUAACAGAUCUAGUUAAUGUCUUGAUAAGUGUAAUUGAACUUAGAUAAGGUAAUACGAAUGAGAGGGUAUUGACGUCAAUCUAUUAACUUAAAAGAUUAGAACAUAGCAAUAAGGACCUCUUGCCCACUGCUUACAAGUUAAUUAAACUAAUGGAACUUAAUCAAUGUCAUGACCGUGUAAUUGAACUUAGAAAAGGUAACACGGUGAGAGAAAAUUAACUUCGGCCCAUUAACCUAACAGACAAGCUUGCGGCAGUAAGAUCUCGUACGCGCCCCUAUCGGCUCAAUGAUAUUGCCACACUUCGGUGAGAUAUGGAUGAUACACAGCCGAUGAUCGGCUAUCAAUAGUAGCAUUAUGACGGAUCCGACGGCUAGCAAUUCGAGGGGUAGGGGGUAAAGAUCUAUCGAACCUAGCAUAUAUAAAACAUUAAAAGCAUGCAAGAUCUAACCAGUCGAUACGAUCAGAUAACUAAUGAACACUUAAACAAGGUCAAGGAGUCGAUGAAGAUAACCUAAUCAUAUCUAAGCCGUUCGAUAACUGUGAGUGCUUGAUAAAAUUAAGAGAUUGAUACGAUGCAACUUAAUAAUACCAAACAACUCGAUAACUGUGAGCAACGUGGAAGACAAUCAGAAUAUUGGCCGAGGCCUAGAAAGUUCUACUUGCAAUCGAAGAUAACUCGAUAACUAGCCAAACAACCGAAUAUCAUAAUAUAAGACUUAACUUAGAAAGUUCUGAUAGAGACCGUAAUGACCGGGUGACUGUACUUACAAGCUCGCCUGAGAUCGAAGCUGAUGCAGUCGUGCGUUUAGGAAGGAACUCAUCGAAUCUACUCUACUCCUACUCCUAGGGUUUUGGCGGCGUGGUGCCGAAAGUUUGUAUUGAUUGAUUACAAGGCUCAUGGGUUUAUAUUUAUACCCUGGAGCAAACUAAAAAUCCUAGUAGAUUACGACACGACUAUUACAGCUAUUUCUAAAAACUACUAAAGAUAAAUCUUCACACUUUCCCUUAUCUGGUGGAGUUGAUUUUAUUUUGGAUCAGGCCUUCCUUGAUCUUCUAUCGGCUUCCGGAAUCUAGCCUUCCGCGACUAGUCUUGGUCAACGUGGGGUCAUCAACGGUUUUUCUCUAUCCCUCUUCCAUCAGCUAUCAGUUAUUUAUCCACAGCGGUUGACUCUGGUCAAAAAAUGGUGUCAACAAAUUGAGCAGUUGAAUUUGAAUGGUAGACCAUGCAACGGUGAGGGAGGCAAGUCGUUUUGCAAAGGUGAAGCACACCCCCUCCCCGGGGCUGCCUUCACUAUAGCUGGGUGAAACACACCCCUCCCACGCUAGAAUUUUGGUCGUUCGAUCUAACACCAAUGUCACAGAAAUGCUUAGUGUUAUUUAGCAAUUCCGUUUGUAAGUGGCUAGAAGGGAAGGGAUGCAAACCAUGUCAGAAUUAAUGAAUUAUAAGAAGAAUAUAUGUAUGGGCACCCUCUUGAUGUGGAAAAGUGUGAGCUUAGAUUACAUUCGAUUUCUCUUGUGCUAAAAUAUUGGAACAAUAACAAGUUAACAACUCCUGUACACAUCAUCACUCAUGUUCUCGGCUUUUAGUAGCCUGGGAAAAGCGGUGGCGGUGGUGACUGGUAUUUCGUUCCUCGUACGGGUGGCACAACAACCAGUGGUGGCGACGGUGAUGCUAUCGGCGGUGGCGGAGGGUAAACUGGUGGCGGCGGCGGCGGUGAUGCUGUUGGCGGCGGUGGAGAGAAAACCGGCGGUGGAGGAGAUGCUGUUGGCGGUGGCGGAGACGGCAUAGGUGGUGGCGGGGAUGCCACUGGCGGCAGCGGCGGUGGCGGAUGCUGUGCAGGUUUAGGCGCCGGCUCCACCGGUGGCCAGUUUGGCCACCCACACGGUUCGACCUUGGUGCAGUCCACAGGGUUGCUCACGACCGGCUGGCACUCAUCUGCGGUCCUCUGCAUGGGCCUCGACUGCCCCAUGCAGUUUGCCUCGUCAUGGAAGGACCUGCCCAUGUUCCCGUCCAGCGCGCCGCACUCGGCGGCCUCGCGCGUCAAGAAGUUGUACGAGACCGACAGGUUCGCCAACCCCGGCAGCUGGCAGACGCCCCCAGGCACAUCCCCGGUGAACAUGUUGCUCGACAGGUCCAGCUGCUCGACCUUGUAGAGCCCGGCCAGCGCCGGCGGGAUCGAGCCCGUGAGCGCGUUGCCGCUGACGUCGAACACGGCCGCAUUCAUCAGGUGCGCCGCCUCGACCGGCAGGCAGCCGGUGAGGCUGUUGUUGGUGAAAACGAAUUGCUCGAGCGUCUCCAGGGCCUCGCCGAUGCUACGGGGGAUGCACCCGCCGAGCUCGUUGUUGGCGAGGACGAUCACCGUCGCCUUCGACUUGCCAAUGGUCUCAGGGAUGCCGGAGGUGAACCGGUUGUUGUUCAGGAAGAUGGCGUCGUAGGGCCUCUGGAAGAGCUCCGGCGGGAUCGGGCCGUCGAAGUCGUUGAACCGGAUGUCGAGGUAGCUGAGCUUGGGGACGUCGAGCAACGCCGCGGGGAACGGCCCGACGAAGCGGUUGUUGCUUGCGUCGAACUCGUAGAGCUCAGCCAUGUCCCUGAUUUCCUCCGGGAUGACCCCGCAGAACCGGUUGGAGUUGAGGUGGAGCACGGCGAGGUCCUUGAGGAGCCCGAUCUCCUUGGGAAGGUAUCCCGCGACGUCGGCGGCGUUCAUGUCGAGCGUCGCGACGGCGCUCUCCGAUGCGUUGUGCAGCGACGGGACGCAGAACACGCCGUUGUAGGCGCACACGUCGGGGCCGACCCAGUCGCCGGUGAAGUUGUUCGGGUCGGAGUAGAGCGCGUCCUUGAGCGCAUGCAGCGCCUUGUGCGCCGUGAGGAGGCGCGGGUUUUGGAUCUUGAUGUCGAUGUCGAUGUCGAUGUGCACGUGGUCGGUCGGGUGGUGGUUGUGCUCGAAGGAGAGCUCCUGGCGACGGGCAGUGGUGGCCUCCUCGUCGAAGGUCAGCGCCAAGGAUGAGGAGAAGAGAAGGGCGGCAGCGAGGAGCGUCGGGAGAUGGAGGGUGUCCAUUGUUAGGAAUGGCUCCGUCAGCCUUGGCCGGAGCCAACGGCUGGUCGACGAAAUAAGGGAUAUAGGAGAGAGAAAAACAGUGCUACAAUUUAUGGCGACAGAGGUUUUAUAAAAAAAAAUAGUUUGUAGUUUGGAUGGUCAGGAGGAUUACGAGGAGCGAGAAUAGGUUUUUGUGUCGCUAUACUAUGUGCAUGGUUUGCUAAACGAGGCAAGACGGUUGAUCUUUAGUACAUUGGCGUUAUAGCUAUACUUAGGAGUUCAAGUACAGAACAUGUCUUAAAAAACAUGCUGGUUGGGUGAAAGGUUUGGUUCAUAGUAGUGUAUAUAGGACAUGAUGUCGACGAGCAAAACAAGACAUGGUGCCUGGCUGGAGUGGUGGGUGCGUGUAGGAGAAAACAUGUGCUAAGGCCUCCCUAAAUUGCUCGAGUGCCAUAUACACAACUUCAAUAUUGCGUGCAUGAUAAAUAGAAGAUGCAAUUGCAGGUUUAUGAGUUCCUAAUAAUAAAAUAAUAACUAACCUCCUAGGCUUGAAGAAUUCUGAGCGACGGGAGCAACUCUCCUUCUAGGCGUAUGGCUACGUGACGCGUGUUCCCAUACUUUCACUUUUUACCGUGUGUGCUGCCACCUCGCCCGUUUCCUCGACCUUUUUCUUGGCCCGUCCCAGCUUGCUUCCAUCUUGACCCGUUCGUGCUGACCUCUUGUUGUUGGGCUUGGCAUGCCGUGCAUGUCGUCGAUGCCUGGUCAACAUUUCGUUGGUAGAGAAGCCGAUAUGAGAUAUUCUAUAAUGUGAGCAGAUCGAUGUGGCCUGGAGCGAUUUGCUCACAUUACAUACUGCCAAUUUACUGGUGGAGAAGCCGAUAACCAGUUGUUGAACCACCUCAUAUUUCAUACCCUGCUUAUGUUGUUUUUCUCCCAACUCAAACGUUCAUCCCCAAGAAAGGCCAUCAAUCAUGUGGACGUUUUUUAACGGUUGAAUAUUUCUUAUGAAACACUAAUAGUAAUCCUCAAGAACAAUAUAAUAUUAAAUCAUUUAUGUUACAGUACCUUUUAUGGGUUCUUAAAAAAACAAUAUCUUUUAUGCCUGCUAAACUGUUGUACAUUAUACAGUUCAUGAUAGUGCUAGCACUGAGGUAAUAGUUGUUUCUUUUUUCUAAAUAAUGAUUCAGAUUAAGUGUUUUAGUGAUACAUUUUCGUGACCUCUUCUUCUUCAUAUGCCAUUGUUUUCAAUUAGUGAUACCUAGAGGAUAUAAUUUAUCAAUAUAGAUCUACUUAAUUUCUUUAUUGUUGUUCUUGCCUUUCCAAAAAUUUCAGAGCUUAGUGUUUUUCUGUCUUGGCAGUAAAAGAACUGGGGGUCACGAACGUCGAACGUGUGCAUUCAAAAAUUUUCUUGAUACAACUUCACUUCAUUUGAUUUUGAAAGGCAAAUUUACAACACUACUCCUAUUAUCACUUCCGACAAACAAUGCUUCUAGCUUCCAUUGCUGAUGUCCAACAAUGUUCCUUCAUGCUUCAAACUUACUUAGAGCAAUGGAUGUUGAGCCUGUUAGAAUUAAUGAAUGGAAAACUAGAAUACGAAAGAGCACAUUUGGAAGCAAUUGAAUUACAUAUACCUAGCUUUUUUUAUUUCUCUGCUAUAAUUUGCAAGCUGCUAUUCAGAUGGUACUGACUUUAUCUGAUGAAUUGAAUUUUGUUGCAAGAUUGGUCUAACUGAAUUUUUAUUGCAAGGUUGAUGUAGAGUACCUUGGCUUCUAUUUCAUCUUUAUGUUUACUUCCAGUGGCUUCACAAGACUGGUGUUAGGUCAUUUGUAUGAAUUGAUGGCAAUUGUUUUGCUGUUUGCAGUAUGCUCACAUCAUCCAGAAUAUUGGUUUUACUCCAAAAUUGAAGGUACCUAUUCUAUUCGUAAGACUUGUGUAAUAUUAUUUGAUAAAUCAUUGUCACCAAACUUCUUAUUUCUAUAAUCUCAGGACUUCAACAUUUAGAACAUUGUUGCGUCUUACGAUGUUGAAUUCCCAAUCUUGCUUGACGGUCUUGCAUACUUGCUUGGUGCUUUUGUCAAGUGUAAGGUGCAAUCUUUGGCUUAUUAACCACAGUUCUGUCACCUUACAUCCCUUAUUUUUUUAUUUUUCCUAUAUGUGCUCUAAAAUUGAUGUUUUGCAUGCCUUUCCCUCACAGUAUGAACCAGAGCAACUGAAGAUUGUCAUGCUAAUUUUUGUUUCAGGCAAGGUUGCUCUAACUGGAGUUAAGAUUAGCAGGCAUUGCCUGUGCAUUUUCAUGGCUUGAUUUUGUCAGACAAUCUUUCCAUGCGAGUGAUGAGACAUACACUGCCUUCGAAAAUAUUUAUCCUGUCCUCACCAAGUUCAAAAAAGUUCAGGACUGGUAUGUACAUGUUUAAGGGGCAUGUGAAAAUAGGAACAGCUAUUGUACUAUUGUGACUAUUGGUUGUAGUUCCUUUUUAUUAUUUUGUUUUUUUUUGUGAGUGUGGAUGAGAUGAGUGGUCACAUUUUUCAGAAAGCUUAUGUCUGUCACUUGGUAUAUGCAGAUAACUUAUUGGAAUUAAGCAGAAAUGCAGAAUGGAAGAUGUUAUAGCUGGCUGACAGUUCCAGCUUGCCAGUGUGAUGCUCUGAUGUUAUAUAUUAGAACCGGGGGGUGCUUAUGCUGCCCAUCAAUCUCUUUAGCUUUGAUGUGAUGCUGCCAUCAUAUUAGAAAGUCUUGAACGGCUCAAAUAUUUGUGAGGAAUCAUGCCAUUAGAUUCAUGAAUAGCGGUUUUAACUGGUAAUGCUCUGCGCAAGUGGAACGCCAAUAGGACUGAAAAGCAAUUUUGGUAUCGGCUUUUCCAAUGUCAUCUCCAAAUGUGAUGAAAAGGCAAUAUAGUGUAUGUACUUCUUGGCAUGUUACCAUACUAAAUAUUUUUCCCUACAAUCUGUGCAUAAAAGGCCAGUAUUAAGAAAUGUAUUGAAAAAGAUUGUCGAUGAAAAGACAUAAUCCUUUCAUGGUUUUGGUUUGGUUGCAUGUAUGCAACAUUAGCAAUAUAAACAGAAAUGUAAUUAAAUUUAGCUAACAAUAGUGUGACAAGUGAAUAGUAUAAUGUAAAUCGAGAAUAAUGUUUGGGGUGGGAACAAAACUAAAUUGUGCUCACUGAUUUUUUUUUGAUAGACUCUCACCCGAUUAUUUAAAUGUCUCCAUGCAACAAAAUGUGGAAAGAUAUAUCCUCAAAUUUUACAAUUUAAUUUGUUGAGAUGGUAUAUUUGAAUCGUCUAAACUAUUUUAAUUAUUGAGUUGUAAAAGAUAAAAGUAAUUUGUUUUUUGGAUUAAAAGUGAAUAAAUUAGUGAUCAUCAAUAAAAAUAGGUGGCGAACUGAACCCACUUGGUUGGUUAAAUUCUUUCUGAUGGAACCUAUCAACCUGAUUCUAAUAUAAGACAUUCGGCCAAGGGUCAAUUCCUCAAAGCCCACCAACAAUAUAGAAUUUUUUUUAUAUUUUUUAUUUUACAAAUUUGCAGAAAUACAUAGUCGAUCCAAAAAUUUGCAGAAAUGGAGCUCUCCCGCCGGAUCAAACGGUGGUAGCUCCCCCCCCCCCUCCAACAGCCGGUUUUGUUGUGUGUUGGCAGCUAUAACCGGUAUAACUUGGGUUUUUUUUCGUGUAAUUUUGUCUCCUAGUAAAAAAAUAUCAAGUAACAUUGGAAGCACUAAAUAUUCAGAUACGUUACUUUUGGUUGCAAUACAAAACUUCGUAAUUUGAGAGAGGUAGAGCGCUUGGAGGAAAUAAUUGAAAAUGAAUUAACUCCCAGCAAUUAGAUACAUAGCUGUUUCCAGCGAAAUUAUAACAUAUAGAAAUGAAAUUCGUGCACAACAUACGAACAACAACGACUCUAGGGUGAACAAUUAAUUAUAGAUUGCAGUGGCAUGUGUGGCACGAAUGCUAUCCUAAAUAUGUUCCAUUGCUAAACCUAACAUGCCUUAGAUAAUCGAAAUAACUGGGAUAGAGCCAUGUCUACUUUCUAGUAGAACUGGCUUUGUGAGAACUGGGAGGGCCCAGCAUCAUAGUAGCUAGCACCCCCAGAGGAUGGCGGAGACGGGGGGUGAUCCUUAUUGUGGUGGUAGGGGCACUUGCACCAUGGAUCAGUACAAAUCAAGUCACCUGCGAUGUUAACCGCUUAAGGAUUCACAUCAACUUCAGAUUGAAGAUCCUCGAUCUUAUGCUUGAGGUCAAAGAUCUUGCGCUUCAGGUAGUGGAGUACUCUUGGAUUGCCUCAGGAAGUGGUGGAUUGACCCACUUUGCAUAGCGGCAGUUUCUUUCAUCGAGAUAAGACUAAACGUGAUGUUAGUUUGUAGCACGAAAAGCUUAGGAACAGUAAAGAAGUCCAUACGAGCAUCGAAAAAAACACCAGUUUCCAUCACUGUAGCCAUCAAAUAGCUGGAUGACACAAGCCACGUCAUGGUGACACAUUAGCCACGUAUCAUGAUGGUCAUGAUAAGGCCUAAGGGAAUUUGGAGGGGCGUAGUUAGCCCUGUCCUAUAGAGGGAAGUCGUCGAGGGGUGCCUCAUACUCCGUUGGGCCAAAAGAACCUGGCCAAGUGAUGGUGGGAAUAGAAGCAUGCCCUCCUCUUCCCCUCCUCCCACGACCUUUCUCUCUUGUGGAUGCCAUUGUUCUUCCUCCUACUCAGUAGUGUGGAAGGAUACGGGAGAGAAAGGUCCAAUACAAGGAGUGCUGAGAUGGAGAUGCACUGCACCCCCAUAUGCUCAGUACCCCAUCAUGUUCAAUCAUCCUGAAAAAAGCUAGAUAUAGGCUUUGUAGGUGUAGAGAUGUAGGGCUCAGUGCCGAGUCCCAUCUGCCUAAGAAGGCUCACGUUCAGAGUCCUUACAGUCUAUAGUAUAGGCUUUUCAGUGAGAGUUCACAUCAACAGUGAUUUACCACUAUUUGAGUAUUGUAUUGGCUACAGAGUAGUAUAAUGGGAAUAGUGUGAAAUCUUAGUACUCGAAGCAUGAAGACAAAAUGUUAUCACAGCACAAACAACAGUACAAUCGCAUCCGAGGCGUCCAACAUGACAAACCCAAAGAGCACCUUCCCUGGAAUAAAAUACCUUAGGUAAUGUAAAUUGGUGGAGGACGAGUAACGUUCUACUGGGUGGGGAAGUUUCCCCUUCCUCACUAUUUUGGAGGAACAUUCUGCCUCCUACUUCUACAUCUUCAUCUGUCACUCUUCUUCCUAGAGGAGUUGCGCCUAACGAGCUUCGAAUUCUUCCUCCUGCCGUUUCAAUGCUAUCUCUCGAGCACCUAACUGGUCAUGCCUCCUCUGCAGUUCAUCCUCCUUGCCCUUCAAACGGAUAUGUUGUUGGCAGAUGCGUUCCUCUUGCUCGAGCCGAAGAGCAUGUGCCGCGUCUCAAGCCGUUUCUAGCCUACCAUAGUAUUGGGUUUUGGUCUCUAGCACCACUUGGAUUAUGGGCACCUCGCCUACUGUCGAUCCAUUCCAUGAAUGUGCAUGCCUGCAUGUUCAUUCCUGAUUAGUUCAAGGUACAAGUACGUAGAAAACAUAUUUCAAAUAUUUAUGAACGGCCUGACCAUGAGAUCAUCGUCAAUGUCGGGACACUUGAAGUACCUACACCCCUUCUUCCCUCUAGGUAUGCGAUCCUCCUAUACCUGCAACCACGCACAGAAGCUGCAGUGGCAUUUGGGGCGCUCAUUCCAUGGUGGAACCCCAUUUUGCUCCUCCCUCUAGGACAACAUUUCUUAGAGAGAGAUGCAACCUCACUACAAACAGUGGAUUCGGGUUAGGAAGUGUUAGUAGUGCAUUUGAACGUUUUGCCUGAACGUCUCAUAUAUAGAACGCUACUAACAUGAUCCAUGUCCAUGAUGGCAAAUGGAAAAGGACAUGCAUGGAUAUCAUAGCCUGCACCGGCCUAGCUAUCAAAGUCUCUGCACUGACCUACAUAAUGCAGUCUGCAAAGGAGCACACAUCAUAGUCUACAGCAUCGUACACAUCAUAGCUUGCACCGGCUACAAAAUAUAAAGGAGAUCCUAUGGACUAAAUACGUCCUCACUUGUGACGCACAUCACCACGACCACGACCACGUCUUGCGAGCCGCUGCUCUGGUCUGGAACCGGUCGUACGUGCAGGGCUCCGGAGGGGCAGCCCUAAACACCCCUGCAUUCCCAAAAACUAUAUAAAGAUAUGCACGACAUGAACAUUUUACUAAAUGUAAUAAUUUCAACUAACCCCUAAAACACCUACAUUCUGAAUACCUAUAUAAAAUAUAACUCGUGCAUUGCUAAUAAUAUUCAUCUUAAAUUUAUCUAAAUAAAUCAGCAAACUAAUUUUACUAUAACAUAAAUAACUAAGCUAAAUCCACAGUACCGACAAAACUAUAUUCUAUGUCUCAUACGAACACCUACAUUUCAUCUACUAAUUAACACUACACCAUUUAUAUAGCUACUGCAUCAACUACAACAUCUACCAACUACGAGUUAAGCUAAACUAGAGGAUUUGUAAUAAUACCUCAACCGAAGCCAAACUUUAAGCUUCAAUCUCCACCCUACUUCCCUCCCAUCAUCUCCUCUCCUCCCUCCCUCCCUUUCUUUCUCUUCUCCUCCCUCCCUCCCUUCCUCUUCUCUCCCGAACGCUCCCUCCCUUCCUCUUCUCUCCCGGCCGCUCCCUCGGCUCCCUCCCUUCUCUCGGUUCUGGCGUCCAGAAAUAGGCGCACGCACACACGCCCGGGGUGGCCGCUCCACGACUUUUAAAGGCGCGGGACAGCUACCACCGAAUCAGGCGGCGGUAACGAUCCCGCUCCUUCUAUUUGAAUCGGCGGGGCCUGUUACCGCCUCCUGAUCCGGCGGAAAUCGGAUACCGCUGGAUGGCACGGCGGAAACAGCCUUGUCCCACGCGCCACUACAACCCGUGUGCUGCCCGCCGGAUCAAAGGGCGGUAAGCGGAUUUACUAGUUGACGUGGCGGACGCGCGAAGCUACUGCCGGCGGUAUCUUCUCUUACCGCUGGUUGAGAUGGCGGUAGCUGUUUAUUGACGUUUGAUCCGGCAGCAGAGGUCUAUUUCUGCAAAUUUUUUGAUCGCCUAUUUAUUUCUGCAAAUUUGUAAAAUAAAAAAUAAAAAAAUUCAACAAUAUAAGACAUCCCUUCCCUCCGCCGUACUACAUAAUACUCGUGGUUUCAAUCUCUAGCACUCCAGCCCGCCGCCCAAAUUCACCCACGUCCACCGGCCGUCUCCCCGCCGCAGCGCCUCCGAUCUUUCUUCCCCGAGCCGGUCGCCUGCCGCGAUCUCACGUAAACAUGGUGAUUGCUGGAGAAGAUAGCCACAUAAAUAUGAAGGUAUAUGUCAAACUUCAAAGACUGUACUUCAGAAAUCAGUCGCAGCAAUUUUUUCACCAAAAAAGGAGAUCGGUUUUAAUUUGUAGGUGAAGGGGAGCCUUCAGUCCGGUGUUGGUCCUCAUGAUCCUGAUCUACCCAACCCUGCUCGGCUUCAUCUUCGCCGCUCCCCUGGCCACGUUCGCACUCCUCAUCCCGACCCCCACCGUCCCGGGCGCGCCUCCGUCUCACGCCGGGAGUCUCCACGGCACCCAGGACCUCUGGGAGACGGCUGGUGCCGGUGCUACCAUGCGCACAAUCUUCACCUUCGCCGCCAUUGCUGUUGUCCACCUCGUUAUCUUUUUCCACCUAUGUCUACGACGAGGUCCCCCCGGUCCUUCUUACUUGGAGUUUGGAUACGUUUUGGCUGCGUCGAUAGCUUUAUGGUUCACCACAACAAGUUUCUUCUUCAUAUACACUAGUAUGGCGAGGUACGGAGGCAAUUAUACGAGUAAAUUUUAGAUACUACAAUUAUUUUAACCGGUUCCAGAAGAAUUUUCCAACUUUUAGGGGCUAGUAUUUUAGAGAUAUAAUAAUUGUUUUUACUAAUACACGUUGGGAAAACCAUAUAAUACCCUGGUCAAAAUAUAGAGGCUCUAAAAUCUCUGUUUUUUGCAACCUAUCGUUAAAUACUUGUUGUUUUCAAAUAUACCCGCAAAUGUUUCUUCUAAAUAUUUUUCUCUUUAUUUAUUGCAAAGUUGUUUGGUGUGUGUUCGUUGCAGGUAUGGUGCUCACGCAUGGGAGUGGUAUGUUGCAGUAGCCUUCUCUGCUGCCAUCCUUAUCGUCACCAUCGAUUUUCUCCUCGUAAAUCCUAUCACUUCUACAUGUUUUUUUUUAGAACGACCUAUCACUUCUACAUGUUGCUUUUAGGUUAUUUGAUUCGAUCUGUGAUUGACUCUAACUUCUCCAACUUCUAUUACAUUCCCCCUUCACGCUGACAAUGCCCCCGUUGAUGAUGCAGCUAUAACUAUAGCAUAGCCCCGGGGUGUGGACACUUGGACCGAUCGAUUCACUUGCUGGAACUUUACGAGAGUGGUCGUCAUCGUUUAUCUAGUUCAGGUUCCGAUGUUGCAUUUCUUUUUUUUUAAGCCAUCGGCAGCUGAAAUUAGCUUCUUGUAGCCAUAACAUUCGCACUAGUGCUAAUCUGAGUCAUGAACUACUGUAUAUAUUAUCUAUAAUUUUUUUGUCAGGGUGGAAAACGGACCUUUAAUCCUGGUUGGUAGGGGUCAUAGAUCCUAAAAAUCCAUCCGGAACUAAUUAUUCGAGAUAAAAGGGGUCCUUUAGUCCCGGGUAUUCCCAUCGGGACUAAAAAGUUUCAAAAUAAAAUAAAGAAAAGCUUGCUCCGCCUGCGCCCGCCGGCGCCGCUCCACCCCGCAUCCUGCAAAGAACAGAUCGAUAUGAGCUCGAAACCAAGAAAUUUGAUUCAUGAUCCAAAAAUCUCGCCUCUGCCCAAAGCUCGUACGCCUAACCUCGUCGUAACACCUCGAGGACAUCUACCCGUCGGCGCCGCUCCACCCGCGCAGGGUCUGCGCCACCCUCGCCCACCCGUGUUGCGCCACGCCACGCCACCCGCCUCCCUCUGCUCCCUCCCUCCCGCCCGCCUCCCCGGCGCCUCCUCGGCCUCCGGCUUGGGCGGGCGAGGAAGGGAGGGAGCAGAGGGAGAGGAGGCGGGAAGGAAGGGAGCUGAGGGAGAAGGAGAGGAAUGCUAGGAGAUAAGGGGAGAGAGCGGGGAAAAAGGGCCAGGCGCUGGUCGCUAGGAGAUAAGGGUGGGCACGGGUCGCUAGACAAGGGAGAGAGAGGAGUCAGAGAAGUGGAUAAAUCCCGGUUGGUGGUUCCAACCGGGACUAAAAGGAUCAUUUUAGUCCCAGUUGGAGCUACCAACCGAGACUAAUUAUUUUAUCUCGGUUGGUGGCUCCAACAGGGACUAAAAAGGAUCCUUUUAGUCCCGUUGGAGCCACCAACCGGGACUAAUUCAUUUUAUCUCGGCUGGUGGCUCCAACUGGGAUUAAAAGCUCCACUUUUAUCCCGGUUGGAACCACCAACCAGGAUUAAAAGGGCUCGGCGAGUCUACAAAAUUUAGACUUGGGACUAAAAGCUUUUUAGUCCCGGGUUCAUAGUCAUCCAGGACAAAAGCUACUGGAUGGAAGGUCAGUUCUCUACUCAUAUGAUUUGCAAUCAUGCGUACGUAUCUUGCAAAUUACUGUCCCCUCUUCCAAUUGAUGUGCGCGAUGGGGUUUCAUGGUUAAUAUUUUUUGUGAUUGCUAAAUUAUAGUAUUAUGAAGAGCUCUCACACCCAAAUUUCUCCCCAUCAUCUUUAAGCCGUCUUCCUCAUCUCCGGUGACCUUCAGGGGUUCGGGGUAGGGUCCUCCAGGAGUCCGGUGGAUCUAGAGAAGCUUUGGGGCGAUAGGGGUAGUAGGCAGUGGUGGCGGUCGAGAUGGCGGUGAGAUAGGGCGGCGGGGCACCACCCGUCGGGGCGGUAGAGGACCUCCGGUUAGGCUGUAGAGGGGUGAAGGCAACCACUGGUGGUGACUUGGUGUGGAGGCUUGCAGUCGAGACAGCGGCAGCAGAUCUAGGUGGGCCCAUCGGAGAUGGCCAGGGCAGCAGUGGAGGCAGGGGCCAUCGGUGGCGGUGAGCUCGGCGAUGGGGAAAAUGGAGGAGGGAGGGGUGGUGGAGGGAGGGAGGGCCACACCGGCACCGGGGACGGUGCUGACAAGGUGGAGGGUGGGUGGGCAGCGGCGGUAUGACGGGUCGGGUUGUUGGGAAGAAGGGGAAGUGGUCGAGCCAAACGAAUGAGAGUCGAACAGGAACGGGAUCUACUGCUGUUGAUCUUGUCCAUCUGUUUUUAUCCGACAGUGCAGAAUUCGAGUGUAAGGAGAAGAAAAAACACUUGGGUAUAUAGUAGAUAGCCCUAUUUUUUUAGGCAAUUGACAAAAGAGGAAAUGAGCAAUGCUUAAUCACCACCUUUUCGGGAUAUUGAAAUUGUGGUUGCUCAGUUGUCAGUAUCGUUCCAUGCAUGUUUAUCAGUUAGAUAGUUACUGUAUUUCUCUAUGUCUAAUCCUAUGUGACAACUGAAGAUGAUUAGACCAAAUACAUUGCUACACCUCAGCGGUCUCAUAGAUCGUCUCAUACAAUGCCACGUACGAUUUUUUCUGAUGUGGAAGAGAGAGGGUGAGGAGAGAAAAAGAUAUCGUUAUUUCGCGAAACAACCGCCCCAUAGGCUAGAUUUUAAGACUAUUAGACGACUACUCCACCAUUGUACGAGUUGUGGUUGUCAACUCAUAAUAUUUUUUUCUAUACUUAAAAAGAUAACCCAUUGUACAUGUUGUUUGUUUAGUCGUCUCAAGGUUACGUGUCAAUGCAUAAGACAAUAUACUCCCUCCGUACUCAUAAAGGAAGACGUUCUAGGCUCUUGGCCCAUUUUCUCAAAGGAUGUCAUCGCACGCUCGGAGGGGAGGAGUUGGAUGCGAUUGCCCCUGCAUUUCGGCUUCUGUCCACAGUAAUCACGCGCUCGCAAUCCACCGCAUUGAUCUCGCCUCUUCGUUUCACUCGCCACCGCACGGUCGCUUCAAUUUCCUUCCUCGCACCGCAUGCUCGCUUCCCUUCUUCGCCGCGUGCCUUCCUUCCUCGCCGCUCGCCGCACAUCUUCGUCGCCCUCGCGCUGCGCCUUCCUUCCUCGCUGCUCACCACACGUCUUCCUCACCACUCGCCAGUUUACUCCCUUACUUCCUCGCGCCAUGGAGUCUAGCGCCAUGGAGGUCACUCGCGCCAUGGAGGAGGCGCUAGACUCAGAGAUGACGCCAGACUCGGAGAUGACGCUGGCCUCAGAGAUGGCACUGGACUCGGUCGAGAUGGCACUGGACUCAGUCAAGAUGGCGUCAAACUCGGUCGAGAUGGCGCCGGACUCCUUCCUCGCGCCAUGGAGUCUAGUGCCAUGGAGGAGGUGCUGGACUCAGAGAUGAUGCCAGACUCGAAGAUGACGCUGGCCUUGGAGAUGGCGCUGGACUCGGUCGAGAUAGGGCCAGACUCGGUCGAGAUGGCGUCAGACUCCGUCAACGUGGUGCCGGACUCCGCUGAGGUGAUGUCGGAGUCUCUAUGUGCUCGCUGCGGCACGUUCCACGCCGACAAUGACGACGAAGGCUGCUACCAAGCUCGCCACGAAGCUAGCAGGUGUGCACAUUGCGGUAUUGUACACAGAGACUACGAUCUCACAACAUGGAUACUUGAUGGCAUAGAAAAAUUUGAUUGUGAGCUCAACCUUCCUGGUGUGGAGAAGCUUCAAAUGGAUGGUGACGCAAUACUUCUUCCUGAGCACGUUAUCAAGAAGUUGGACGAGAUCUACAAUAUGAAGAAGUUGGAAGAUGCAAAGAUGAAGCAAGAUGCAAAGAAACAACAGUAAGGUACAUGUCUCAUUCAGUCGACCUAACAGGCAUGCAAAAACUAAUUUGCUAGUAAUAUUCUUGCUUCGGCUAGCAUGCUGCAAAGACUAACAUGCUUGCAUUUUCUAAUAUUCUUCUUCUAAUUUGAUGCAGGAAGGAUAGCAAUUGCUUUGGCUAGCAAGGAAGAUUCACAAGAGAUUUGCAAUGGCAGCCGAUCUUCUUUCUCUAGUUUUUCUUUUUGCAUGUCAGGAAUCUUGAACUUGUUGCACCCUUUAACUUUCAUGGCUUCCCUCAAAACACUCUGAAGUGUUACAAAAAUCCUGUUUGCUUUCCAUGGAGAGUACUCUAAGAAUGCCUACAAAUAUGUGUUCAAAAAUUCAAUCAAUGAGUAUAUUAGUUGUUCAAGAAAUAAUGGAGCAAGUGAAUAAUUGAUCAAUUUACCUGUUGGACUGCUGGAACUAGAUCUUUUCCUUCUUAUAUUGAAUAGCUGAAUAGCUCAAAAAAACCCCCAAGUCUAAAAUGUUAAAAUCUGGAAAAUUAGGUGGUUCACAAAUGAGGCGAAUGUCAAACCCUUCUUGCUUAGCAGCCUCACAAAAAAUAGGAUCAUCCACUUUUAAAUGGGAAGGUGCAUUAUCUUGUUAUAUGAAAAUUGUCUUGUUCACAUCUUCUCUUGAUCAUUUGGCUCGAGUGGCAGAGAGCACAUUGUUUACCAUGAAAUCUCUAAUCACCUCUCUUGUGAUUGAAAUAAUUGGCUUGAUUAAUUGUUCUCCAUGAAGACUAUUGUGACUUCUUCUAACAGCAUGUUCAUAAGUGACAAGUGGAAAAUAACUUCUUUUUCUAUGAAAAACACAUUCUCCAUUCCUAAACCUUGGCCGAGCACAAACACACAAGAACAUGAGCCUAGGGAUGCAAUUCUUGUUUUUACAAGUGCGAUGUGAUUCAUCUUCCUCGGGUAGCAAGUAAUAUUUUUUAGAUUUUUAAGAGAGGUAGAACCAUUUUUCAUUAAUGAACACAAAAUCAAAAAAAAAUCCUUAAAUCUUGGAUCACCAAGCAGACCCUGCUCAAUCAUGUCAACACACCACUUCAACCUAGUCUUCUUGUUAGCAUCUAUGAGGUAUGGUUUGAUGCUACUAGAGUGACGCCUAAGCAAACCUUUUUUCAAAUACCUUUGUAUCCUAGCUUUGCUCAUACCAAGUUUACUAGACACAUCUUCUAUGGUCAUUCUUUGUUUGAGAGGAAUGUUGCGCAAUUGUUCCAAAUCAAGAGGAACUGCCUUGCAGCCACAUCUACCCUUCUUUUUACUUGCAACCACAACAGGAAUGUUAUGAGCAAGUUGGUGUUUACCUCGCUUCCAUAAGCGUUGAACUGACCAAAUGUGCACUCCAAAUUAAUCAACAACAAUUCUUGUAUCCUUCUUUCCUAGUGUCUCAUUCUUGCUUCUAGCCAACAAUACUUGGUACACUUGUCUUGUGACUUCUUCUGUCAUGUCCUUCCUUCUAUAGUGUACUUCAACGGGAACCUCAACAUCUUGUUCUAUUAAAAGAAAAAAAGAACAUUCUUCUUGUUAACCACGGAUUACAUACAAAAUAAUCAAAAAAGGAAAUAACAAACUGAAAAAUAAAUUACCAGCGAGGUUUUGUAUGUAAUCAAAGUCAACCGCACCAUAUUCAUCUAAUGGCAAGUUCAAAUCAAAUCCUAUCCAAAAAUGAAACAAAAAAAUCAGAAAAGAUGGCGCUUGAGGGAAACAACAAACUCAAACAAGAGAGGUGAUUACCAUAGUCGUUGCCGGACUCCAAUAUUGGCUCGUUGAGAUCGAAGGUAAGAUUGUCGUUGUCAUCUUCUUUUAAGCGAAUGUUCAGAUCAAAGGCAGCAACUCUAGGAUCAGCCAUUGCAUGCGGUAGUGAAGAGAAGAGAGGGAAAGUGAGGAGAUGAAGCACGGUAAUGGAAAGAGAAGAGAUCGGGGGAAAGACUCUGUUAAAAUAGGCAUGGUGGAACACAAACGUCGGAGCUAUCGAGCGCAAAAAUUAGAAUCAUGUGGCGCCAUUGCAAAAAUCAUUUGCAUGUGAAAAACCAACAAAACACAUGGCGCCCAACAUGCCCAAGCAGCUCAGCGCGCACCACGCCCAGCAGAAUCAAAUCCGCGCGCCAUGCAGCCACAGGGCACACGACACGCAGGGCCAAAUAGUGCCAUGCAAAAUCAGAGAAGAGACCGGGGGAAAGACUAUGUUAAAAUAGGCAUGGUGGAACACAAACGUCGGAGCUAUCGAGCGCAAAAAUUAGAAUCAUGUGGCGCCAUUGCAAAAAUCAUUUGCAUGUGAAAAACCAACAAAACACAUGGCGCCCAACAUGCCCAAGCAGCUCAGCGCGCGCACCACGCCCAGCAGAAUCAAAUCCGCGCGCCAUGCAGCCACAGGGCACACGACACGCAGGGCCAAAUAGUGUCAUGCAAAAUCAAGCCAGUAACAAAAAAAUGACACCCGCCAAGUAUCAUACCCAAGACCUCAGGGCCAACGCCUUGCUGCACUAGCCGUCUGAACUAUGAUUGUUUCUCAUAUGGAAUGCACCCGCAACCGUUUUUUAAUAGGGGCAGACAUGGAAAAAUACCCCCUAUUAAUCACUCCUUGGUAAGCACAAUCAUGUCCUAAACGACUUCCUUUACAAGCACGGAGGGAGUAUUACAUAACACCAAUAUACUCGCUAUGGUGUGAGUCUGAGAAACUCUGCGUUCGAACGAUAGGUCACAGUUACCUGAUCGUUUCAAAGCCCUCCCCCUCCGUGUUGUGGGCGAUCAAGUUGGACGGAUGAUUAUGUAGCUGGCGAGGUGGUAACAAAAACAUGUUGGGCUUUCUAUGUGGUAAGCUAGCUCGCUCUAGGGGAAAAAAAGGAUUCUGAAAAUCUUGCAACCCGCGUUAUGUCAUGCAUCCAUCAGUUGCUGCAGGAGUGGUGUCACGACGCACGAGUGUUUUGAGGACUUUUGUUAUCAAGUCACCUUGCAUGGAGAUAGAUGCGGUGGAUAUACUUCGAUUUGCCUACUUCGGUCUACGGCAUGUUAUGGUGUAAUCCUAUGUGACAAUCGGUUUGCUUAAUGGUUCCGCUGAAAAAAAAAACUAUUUUGCAGUGGAACCGAAGUAGGCAAACCGAUUGUUCUUAGCGCUCUGCUUCCAAUGUCAUUUGUGAUUUGUUUCGUGGCUGACACUGAACGAAGAGAAAGGCAGCGAUGGAUUCGGAUUAGAUACACAUGGAAUUGAAUUCGGAUAGCAUUAUUUACCACAGAAAGGUAGGGAUGGAUUCGGAUUAGAUAUGCAUGGAAUUGAAUUUGGAUAGCAUUAUUUACCAUAUUUUAAUUCGAAUUCAAAAUGAAUAGUUUGAAUUUGGAUUCAGAUUCGGAUACUUACUCGACUUAUAGCAUAGUGUCAUGACGAGUAUCAAUCUUGCUUUAUCGAUGAUUUUAUAAUUGAUCAAAAUUAUGUUACAAGUAGGGAGUAAAUUAUGAGCAUAGUACGUAAUAGAUAUUUUAUUAAAAAUAACAUAUUUAUUAAUAAAUAAUUAAAUAUAUAAAAAUAAAUAUAUAAGUAUUUCCAUAAAUAUAUAUCAUUUAAUAAUAAAAAUAAGUUCAUCAAUACAUUUAAAUAUGAUUUAUUCACUUAAUAAAUAACAUAAUGUAUUUAAAAUUAAUAUGAUUAGUCAUAUUAAAAAUAAUUAAAAUUUAUCAUUAUACAUCUAGUAAUAUUAGGUUAACAUAAUUAGUCAUAUAGUUUGAAUGGUGUAAAUAACUAUUUUAUUAGCAAUAUUAAACUUAACAUCAUUUGUAAUUAGUAUUUAGUAAUAUAAAUAAGUUUUAGAUGGUUUCAUUGGGUACUUUAUUCUUUUUGCAGAUACGGAGAAUGUCGGAUAUUUCACAUUUUUGUCGAAUACGAAUCUGGAACCGGAUAGAGAAAAACACUAAAAAUUGAAUCCGGAUACAUCCAUUUGACAUCCAAAAUAAAAACGAAUACGAAUACGGAUCAGCGUUUUUAGCAUACAUGAAUUUGAAUAAUUUGGAUUUCCAGACAUCUAUAUCAUAGGACUUUUUAAGGUUCUAACCGAAAUUGACCGGACGCCCUUGGAACGGAUCGCUGAUGCCCCUGUUGCAGUGUGUGCAUCAUGGCGCGUGCUGAUUUAGCGAUCUGUGGCGGUGGAUCAGCGUCAGAGAGGGCCCCGAAACUGAUGAGAAUGUCAUAAUCAAUCGUUGUAUGCGCGCACAGCAGCUGAAAGCGAUGAGAGACGACGACGAGAUCGCGGGCAGGCCGCGCAUAAAGGCCGCAAGGAACCAACCCAGCAGCCCCAGCCAAAGGCAACGUCCCAUGAAAAGUCGCAUUCGUAUUCCUAUUCCAAUUUCACAACGGAGGGAAGCAAGCAGCAAAGCAAAAGCACGAAAGGAUGAGCAAGCGUCGGGGGCGGGCGGGGCAGGGAGGAAAGCGACGGUGUACCAACCAAACCAACCGGGCGACAAUGAAGAGUGCCGCGAGCGAAAACGUCGUACUGGCAGUUCCCAACCACCAGCCCCUCUCCUCUCCGCAACUUGCAUGAUGUGAUGAUGAUGCAGUCCAUACCCAUCAUAUCCUAUGCCGUUUGCGCUAACAACCGCCCCUAAUCAGACGCCGCACCGAAUCCUAAUCCCCGGACAUGAAUGCUUUCUCAGCAGAGUGCUUUCCCUUUCCCAACGGUCCUACUCCAAUGUGGCUGCUGCUAUGCGCGACGCGGUGUCGGUGGCUGAACUUUCCAUUGCCCCCUUUUUUUAACAGUGCCUUUGUUCCCUGCUGGCCAAUGGGGUCGCUCCUCCGUGCCCUGCUGUCAGCAAAGCUAAAUCCAGUAUUCUACUAAUCCCUGACAGAACACGGAGGAGAGAAAAAAGGCUGACGCUUCUGAAACGAACUAGCGGCUGCUAUCAUCAGCUGCAUUAUCGCUGACCAUUUCGUCAGGCUACUGCUAAUCAUGCUGGGGCGGCUGGUGCGGAUUGGUUGAGUAUCUAGUCGUAAAUCUUAGCUGUCAUGGAGUAUUUUAUCAGCAUAUGAAAGAACAAACAACUAGCACUAUAUUUUGCAUUAGAAAAAAAAAAAGGAGUACUUGUGAAAGAAGGAAGGAAAUGCAGUACUGUCUGUAACCUUGCUGGAGGGCAAAGCUGCAGCAGCAUUUAGUAGUGGUAAUUAGUAGCACACGUGAUGGAGAGAAGAGAAGAAAUGAGGCGCGUCCGUGACGAGAGGAUUUUGCAUUGCUCUCCUCCUCGUCGCACCGGGUUUUUCAUCUUAAUUUAAUGUGCCCAUGUGCCGCGCGUGAACGGUAGUAGCAUUAUGAAUGGGCGAAUCAAUGGUGUUGCAGGACGAAGCGGAGGAAGAAUCAACCAAGAUUUCUCUCCCAAAAUCGCGUCCUGGUGAGAUUCUCCAUUACUCGAAUGUCGUUUGGUGGCGAUUAUAAACGCGCAAUAAUUCCUCAUCCCGUACAUGGAAAGGAGCAGCUAUCAGCUAGUCGGUCAGAUGAACUGAAACUGCUAUACAAACGAACCCGAUUUAACACUAGGAGCAGCAGAACUGCAGAAGGUAACGGGUUACUACCAUAUAUAAAUCAUUGGGGGAACUGGAAGCAAAUACUCUUUCAAAUCGUUAGCCCAAGUAGAAGAUGAAAGGGGUUUCCGUUUAACAAGUUAUUAUAAUUCGAAGAUAUGUUUGCAAAAUCAUGUAGAGGCCAAGAAACAGAUUUGAUAGAGGAAAGAAAAAAGGAACUCGGUCCAAGAACCGUUCUUCUAUUCUUGUUUCCGAUUCUAAAUGCCUCGAAAACCAAAAAGAAACCUAGUUGACCUUGCUUCCUCCGAGGCACGAUCCACCGGGGCAUGGCCAAUGGCCGGCAGCCGCCCGGCACAACGGCAAAAUUGGCAGGCGCCCAAGGGGGGCGACGUCUAGAAGAAUUUGCAAGUUGCAAACCCAAGGUGGACGUUUAGAAUAAAUUGCAAGUUGCAAUCAGAGCAAGCAAAGAAUAUCGUUACACUAGCUAAGACUCCGAAGAAGCUUAAAGAAAUAUGAAAUCAAGGAGCUGGACAGCUACACGAAUCCCUCCCUGGCUACAAUCACAAUCACACAGGUUCACGAGGAAAUAACCAUCAGUGUUUAUACACCCGUUGCUCGAUCACACAAAUCAUGCAAUUUACAGGACCAUACGGACUCGAAUCGCUUGGGCGGCAGCCCAACCACCACCAAUCAUUCUCGUUAAAAUCCACAGCAUUGACGACAAGAGAAAUAAUCGUACUACUAAAUAAUUGAAAGGGCAGAUCAACAAUUUUUCUUUGUUUUUUUUGAUUCUGAAUCAACGGCGUGGGAUUAACAGGAAUAUGAACCUCCUCCUCUUCCCGGUGGCCGCCGCCGCGCGGGGAUCGAACGGCCCGAG
rnacentral:lncRNA from 1 species